AUUGAACGCUGGCGGCAGGCCUAACACAUGCAAGUCGAACGAGCGGCGGACGGGUGAGUAAUGUAUGGGGAUCUGCCUGCUAGAGGGGGAUAACUACUGGAAACGGUAGCUAAUACCGCAUACCAACAGAUGAACCCAAAUGGGAUUAGCUUGUUGGUGGGGUAACGGCUCACCAAGGCGACGAUACCUAGCUGGUCUGAGAGGAUGACCAGCCACACUUGAACGGAGACACGGGCCAGACUCCUACGGGAGGCAGCAGUGGGGAAUAUUGCACAAGGGGCGCAAGCCUGAUGCAGCCAUGCCGCGUGUAUGAAGAAGGCCUUAGGGUUGUAAAGUACUUUCAGCGGGGAGGCGUUACCCGCAGAAGAAGCACCGGCUAACUCCGUGCCAGCAGCCGCGGUAAUAC
rnacentral:rRNA from 1 species